GUGAACAUAGUUUAACCAAAACCCUAAGUUGUGAUCUUAGAGAUGAAAACUAACCUAUUCUGCUCACC
rnacentral:tRNA from 1 species